rnacentral:rRNA from 1 species
AAGCGGAGGAAAAGAAACUAACCAGGAUUCCCCCAGUAACGGCGAGUGAAGCGGGAAGAGCUCACAUUUAAAAUCUGGCACUCGUGCCCGAAUUGUAGUCUAAAGAGGUAGGGCCCAGCAGACGAGGUGAUUCGAAGUCCUCUUGGAAGAGAGCAUCAAGGAGGGUGACAAUCCCGUCGAACACCGUAAUUGUCUUGCGUGCGGUCCGCUUUCUAUGAGUCGAGUUGCUUGGGAUUGCAGCUCAAAGUGGGUGGUAAAUUCCAUCUAAAGCUAAAUACGCGUGGGAGACCGAUAGCGAACAAGUACCGUGAGGGAAAGAUGCAAAGAACUUUGAAAAGAGAGUGAAAAAGUGCCUGAAAUUGCUGAAAGGGAAGCGAAGGAUAAYCAGUGUCUGGCGGUUCCGCUUCUCCUGCGUUCCUCGGAACGCUGGAUCGCGUUUCCGUCGUGGUCAGUGCCGGCUAGCGUCGCGAGAGCCUGCGUUACGGGAGGUACGUCUCCUCGGAGAUGGAAUGCCGUGGCGUGUCGUCGCGAGGCUGUCCGGGCCUGACGAAAUGGUUUUCUUCACCCCGUCUUGAAACAC